rnacentral:rRNA from 1 species
UCGUCAUCUUGUUGGCUGCGAACAAUAAGGGGUGGAUUAAAACGAGGCCUAUGUUAUUGUGUCGUGUAUGCCCGAGAGAAGAUUACACCUUCUGGGGUGAUCCCAAAUCAUGCGUCGAUCUUCGGAUGGCAUUUGGAAU